GACGAACGCUUGCUUCUUUCUUAACACAUUCAAGUCGAACGUAAAGGCCCUGCUUUUGUGGGGUGCUCGAGUGGCGAACGGGUGAGUAACACGUGAGUAACCUGCCCUUGACUUUGGGAUAACUUCAGGAAACUGGGGCUAAUACCGGAUAGGAGCUCCUGCUGCAUGGUGGGGGUUGGAAAGUUUCGGCGGUUGGGGAUGGACUCGCGGCUUAUCAGCUUGUUGGUGGGGUAGUGGCUUACCAAGGCUUUGCCGGUUGGCCGGCCUGAGAGGGUGACCGGCCACAUUGGGACUGAGAUACGGCCCAGACUCCUACGGGAGGCAGCAGUGGGGAAUAUUGCACAAUGGGCGGAAGCCUGAUGCAGCAACGCCGCGUGCGGGAUGAAGGAAUUCGGGUUGUAAACCGCUUUCGCCUGUGACGAAGCGUGAGUGACGGUAAUGGGUAAAGAAGCAAAGGCUAAAUACGGG
rnacentral:rRNA from 1 species